rnacentral:sRNA from 1 species
UAUUAACCCUGAUUGCAGCGGCAUCCUUUUCUUUUUUUCUUUAAAAAAGAAAAGAUAUAGCGAAAAGCAGGAAUUACG